rnacentral:rRNA from 1 species
UGGUGCCAGCAGCCGCGGUAAUCCAGCUCCAAUAGCGUAUAUUAAAGUUGUUGCAGUUAAAAAGCUCGUAGUUGAAUUUCGGGGUUAGUAGAUUGGUCAUGCCUCUGGUAUGCACUGGUCUUACUGAUUCCUCCUUCCUGAUGAACCGUAAUGCCAUUAAUUUGGUGUUGCGGGGAAACUGGACUGUUACUUUGAAAAAAUUAGAGUGUUAAAGCAGGCUAACGCUUGAAUACAUUAGCAUGGAAUAAUGAAAUAGGACGUUCGAUCUUAUUUUGUUGGUUUCUAGGGAUUGACGUAAUGAUUAAUAGGGAUAGUUGGGGGGCAUUAGUAUUCAAUUGUCAGAGGUGAAAUUCUUGGAUUUAUUGAAGACUAACUACUGCGAAAGCAUUUGCCAAGGAUGUUUUCAUUAAUCAAGAACGAAAGUUAGGGGGAUCGAAGACGAUCAGAUACCGUCGUAGUCUUAACCAUAAACUAUGCCGACUAGGGAUCGGAUGAUGUUAAUUUUUUAAUGACUCAUUCGGCGCCUUACG